rnacentral:rRNA from 1 species
GUAGGGGGCCAGCGUUGUCCGGAUUCAUUGGGGCGUAAAGAGCGUGUAGGCGGUUCAAUAGGUCCGAUGUGAAAACUCGAGGCUCAACCUCGAGAGGGUCGUCGGAAACCAUUGAGCUAGAGUCCGGAAGAGGAGAGUGGAAUUCCUGGUGUAGCGGUGAAAUGCGCAGAUAUCAGGAAGAACACCGAUGGCGAAGGCAGCUCUCUGGGACGGUACUGACGCUGAGACGCGAAAGCGUGGGGAGCGAACAGGAUUAGAUACCCUGGUAGUCCACGCCGUAAACGAUGGGCACUAGGUGUGGGUGGUGUCGACUCCAUCCGUGCCGCAGCUAACGCAUUAAGUGCCCCGCCUGGGGAGUACGGCCGCAAAGGCUAA